rnacentral:rRNA from 1 species
UACGGGGGGGGCAAGCGUUGUUCGGAAUUACUGAGCGUAAAGGGUGCGUAGGCGGCUUUCUAAGUCGGAUGUGAAAACUCUGGGCUCAACCCAGAGCCUGCAUCUGAAACUGGAGAGCUAGGGUUCUGGAGGGGAAAGCGGAAUUCCUGGUGUAGCGGUGAAAUGCGUAGAUAUCAGGAGGAACACCGGUGGCGAAGGCGGCUUUCUGGACAGAUACCGACGCUGAGGCACGAAAGCUAGGGGAGCAAACAGG